rnacentral:rRNA from 1 species
UCCAGACUCCUACGGGAGGCAGCAGUGGGGGAUAUUGCACAAUGGGGGGAACCCUGAUGCAGCGACGCCGCGUGGGUGAAGGAGCGUUUCGGCGCGUAAAGCCCUAUCGGCAGGGAAGAAGGAGGACGGUACCUGACUAAGAAGCCCCGGCUAACUACGUGCCAGCAGCCGCGGUAAUACGUAGGGGGCAAGCGUUAUCCGGAUUUACUGGGUGUAAAGGGGGCGCAGACGGCAGCGUAAGCCAGGAGUGAAAGCCCGGGGCCCAACCCCGGGGCUGCUCUUGGAACUGCGCGGCUGGAGUGCAGGAGGGGCAGGCGGAAUUCCUGGUGUAGCGGUGAAAUGCGUAGAUAUCAGGAGGAACACCGGUGGCGAAGGCGGCCUGCUGGACUGCGACUGACGUUGAGGCCCGAAAGCGUGGGGAGCAAACAGGAUUAGAUACCCCAGUAAA